GACUGGAGGACUGGAGGACUGAAGGACUGGAGGACUGAAUGACUGGAGGACUGGAGGACUGAAGGACUGGAGGACUGAAGGACUGGAGGACUGAAGGACUGGAGGACUGGAGGACUGAAGGACUGGAGGACUGAAGGACUGGAGGACUGAAGGACUGGAGGACUGGAGGACUGGAGGACUGAAGGACUGGAGGACUGGAGGACUGAAGGUCUGAAUGACUGGAGGACUGAAGGACUGGAGGACUGAAUGACUGGAGGACUGAAUGACUGGAGGACUGAAUGACUGGAGGACUGGAGGACUGAAUGACUGGAGGACUGAAUGACUGGAGGACUGGAGGACUGAAUGACUGGAGGACUGAAUGACUGGAGGACUGAAUGACUGGAGGACUGAAUGACUGGAGGACUGAAUGACUGGAGGACUGGAGGACUGAAUGACUGGAGGACUGAAUGACUGGAGGACUGGAGGACUGAAUGACUGGAGGACUGAAUGACUGGAGGACUGAAUGACUGGAGGACUGGAGGACUGGAGGACUGAAUGACUGGAGGACUGAAUGACUGGAGGACUGGAGGACUGAAUGACUGGAGGACUGAAUGACUGGAGGACUGAAUGACUGGAGGACUGAAUGACUGGAGGACUGGAGGACUGGAGGACUGAAUGACUGGAGGACUGAAUGACUGGAGGACUGGAGGACUGGAGGACUGGAGGACUGAAGGACUGGAGGACUGGAGGACUGAAUGACUGGAGGACUGGAGGACUGGAGGACUGAAUGACUGGAGGACUGAAUGACUGGAGGACUGAAGGACUGGAGGACUGGAGGACUGAAUGACUGGAGGACUGAAUGACUGGAGGACUGAAUGACUGGAGGACUGGAGGACUGAAGGUCUGAAUGACUGAAAGUCUGUCAUGUGACCUCCUGGUGGCCCACUGGUGACCGACCACCAAUAGGUGAUAUUCAGAUGCAUUUCCAUGUGGACACAGCAUAAAAUUACCCAUCAUGCAACUCUGUCUUUGCAAGCAGCAGCUGGACUGGGCAUUCAGUCAGAAGUAGUUCAUGAUUCAUUGUUAAUUUAUUCAUAUUAUACUUGAUUAAAAUUACACUAACAAGGCAGAAGGUCCUGAUGUCAUCAGAUCAGCUGUAGUUCCUGGUUGUUCCACCAGGUGGAGCCUCUUCCUGUUUAAUCCUGUAGAGACCAGAGGAGGUUAAAGCAGAGAGCAUUGUGGGAGUUUAGCAGCAACGGGCACCAUGACAAAGACUUCUGUGGAGUUAAUGACCUCCAACCAGAUCUACCGUUUAUCUCUGACAGCGUGCCGGUAGCUAAGGGUGAAUAUAUUAGCAGAUGUCCAGUGUACCUGUUAGAACAUCAGUGUUAGCACAUAGAACACGUCCUUCUUUUGUUUUAAUGAUUAGUCGAUACAGGAUUAAUGAGAUUACUCAGAGCAUCGAUGUUUGUAGUUUGUCAUCAGUCUGAUCAG